rnacentral:rRNA from 1 species
AGAGUUUGAUCCUGGCUCAGAAUCAACGCUGGCGGCGUGCCUAACACAUGCAAGUCGCACGAGAAAGGGUAGCAAUACCUGAGUAAAGUGGCGCACGGGUGAGUAACACGUGAAUUAUCUACCUCCGAGUGGGGAAUAACUGAGAGAAAUCUUAGCUAAUACCGCAUAACACUUACGAGUCAAAGCAGCAAUGCGCUUGGAGAGGAGUUCGCGGCCGAUUAGUUAGUUGGCGGGGUAAUGGCCCACCAAGACGAUGAUCGGUAUCCGGCCUGAGAGGGCGCACGGACACACUGGAACUGAAACACGGUCCAGACUCCUACGGGAGGCAGCAGUGGGGAAUUUUGCGCAAUGGGGGAAACCCUGACGCAGCAACGCCGCGUGGAGGAUGAAAUAUCUUGGUAUGUAAACUCCUUUCGAUGGGGAAGAUUAUGACGGUACCCAUAGAAGAAGCCCCGGCUAACUUCGUGCCAGCAGCCGCGGUAAUACGAGGGGGGCAAGCGUUGUUCGGAUUUAUUGGGCGUAAAGGGUGCGUAGGCGGUUUGGCAAGUCUUGUGUGAAAUCUUCGGGGCUCAACCCCGAAGUCUGCAUAAGAAACUGCCGGGCUUGAGUAUGGGAGAGGUGAGUGGAAUUUCCGGUGUAGCGGUGAAAUGCGUAGAUAUCGGAAGGAACACCUGUGGCGAAAGCGGCUCACUGGACCAUAACUGACGCUGAUGCACGAAAGCUAGGGGAGCAAACAGGAUUAGAUACCCUAGUAGUCC